CAGAUGUCCCUCAUGUGGUCGCAGAUGGCCUUGGCGGCAGACAUGGCGCUGGACAGCUUCCUGGCCUUGAUGACAGCGGCGCCACGCUGCUGCACCGUCUACAUCGCCACAACAACAAUAACAACAACAAGAUUUUGGCUGGCCCACAUUUAGGUCGAAAACCUGCGUGAGCCUACCGAUGUCAGUGACAGAAGACGAGCACGUUUCCUUAUUGAAUGGUGACAUCAUGUGACUGCGGCGGACUGACGGGGACGGCUGGUUGGUGCCGUGUUCGUACGAUUUGAAUCAAUGACAGCCUAAUAAAUUUGUCAUUUUUUUUCAGCAUGUUAAAUUACUGAUUGAACAU